rnacentral:rRNA from 1 species
UACGAAGGGGGCUAGCGUUGUUCGGAUUUACUGGGCGUAAAGCGCGCGUAGGCGGAUCGUUAAGUCGGGGGUGAAAUCCUGGAGCUCAACUCCAGAACUGCCUUCGAUACUGGCGAUCUCGAGUCCGGAAGAGGCGAGUGGAAUUCCUGGUGUAGCGGUGGAAUGCGCAGAUAUCAGGAGGAACACCAAUAGCGAAGGCAGCUCGCUGGGACGGUACUGACGCUAAGGCGCGAAAGCGUGGGGAGCGAACGAGGA